GCUCAGGAUGAACGUUGGCGGUGUGCCUAAUACAUGCAAGUCGAACGGUGACGAUUUUGUAGCAAUACGAAUGAAAUCAUAGUGGCGAACGGGUGAGUAACGCGUUGGUGAUCUGCCUCGAAGUGUGGAAUAACUUCCCGAAAGGGUAGCUAAUACCGCAUAGUCUCUCAAGGUUUAGAAAAUUGAGAGUAAAGGAUUUAUUCGCUUCGAGAGGAGCCUGCGUCCCAUCAGCUAGUUGGUAGGGUAAUAGCCUACCAAGGCAAUGACGGGUAGGGGACCUGAGAGGGUGGCCCCCCACAAUGGAACUGAAACACGGUCCAUACACCUACGGGUGGCAGCAGUAGGGAAUAUUAGAAAUGGGCGAAAGCCUGAUCUAGCAACACCGCGUGUGCGAUGAAGGCCUUCGGGUUGUAAAGCACUUUUUGGAGGGAAUAGGAAGGAAGGUACCUCCAGAAUAAGUCUCGGCUAACUACGUGCCAGCAGCCGCGGUAACACGUAGGAGGCAAACGUUAUCCGGAUUCACUGGGCGUAAAGCGCGUGUAGGUGGUUCUGUAAGUAGGGCGUGAAAGCUCCCGGCUCAACCGGGAGAGGCCGUACUAAACUGCAGAGCUAGAGGAUGGUAGAGGGAGGUGGAAUUCCAGGUGUAGUGGUGAAAUGCGCAGAUAUCUGGAGGAACACCAGUGGCGAAGGCGGCCUCCUGGACCAUUCCUGACACUCAGACGCGAAAGCUAGGGUAGCAAAACGGAAUUAGAGACUCCGGUAGUCCUAGCCCUAAACGAUGCAGACUAGGCGUCGGCGGUUUAAUCACCGUCGGUGUCCAAGCUAACGCGAUAAGUCUGCCGCCUGAGGACUACGGCCGCAAGGCUAAAACUCAAAGGAAUUGACGGGUCCCCGCACAAGCAGCGGAGCGUGUGGUUUAAUUCGAUGCUCCGCGAAGAACCUUACCUGGGUUUGACAUAACAGUGGUAGAGAAGUGAAAACGGAUCGACCCUUCGGGGAGCUGUUACAGGUGUUGCAUGCCUGUCGUCAGCUCGUGUCGUGAGAUGUUCGGUUAAGUCCGCUAACGAGCGCAACCCGCGCUGUGUGUUACAAGUGUCACACAGUACCGCCGGUAUUAAGUCGGAGGAAGGUGCGGAUGACGUCAAGUCAGCAUGACCUUUAUAUCCAGGGCUACACACACGCUACAAUGGUCAGAACAAUAGGUUGCCAAGCCGCAAGGCGGAGCCAAUCCUCCAAAUCUGGCCUCAGUUCAGAUUGCAGGCUGCAACUCGCCUGCAUGAAGUCGGAGUUGCUAGUAACCGCAGGUCAGCAUACUGCGGUGAAUAAGUUCCCGGGGAUUGUACACACCGCCCGUCAAG
rnacentral:rRNA from 1 species